CCAGACUCCUACGGGAGGCAGCAGUGGGGAAUCUUCCGCAAUGGACGAAAGUCUGACGGAGCAACGCCGCGUGAGUGAUGACGGCCUUCGGGUUGUAAAGCUCUGUUAAUCGGGACGAAAGGCCUUCUUGCGAAUAGUGAGAAGGAUUGACGGUACCGGAAUAGAAAGCCACGGCUAACUACGUGCCAGCAGCCGCGGUAAUACGUAGGUGGCAAGCGUUGUCCGGAAUUAUUGGGCGUAAAGCGCGCGCAGGCGGAUAGGUCAGUCUGUCUUAAAAGUUCGGGGCUUAACCCCGUGAUGGGAUGGAAACUGCCAAUCUAGAGUAUCGGAGAGGAAAGUGGAAUUCCUAGUGUAGCGGUGAAAUGCGUAGAUAUUAGGAAGAACACCAGUGGCGAAGGCGACUUUCUGGACGAAAACUGACGCUGAGGCGCGAAAGCCAGGGGAGCGAACGGGAUUAGAUACCCCGGUAGUCCUGGCCGUAAACGAUGGGUACUAGGUGUAGGAGGUAUCGACCCCUUCUGUGCCGGAGUUAACGCAAUAAGUACCCCGCCUGGGGAGUACGACCGCAAGGUUGAAACUCAAAGGAAUUGACGGGGGCCCGCACAAGAAGGGC
rnacentral:rRNA from 1 species